CUGAGAUUUGUUUAAACUCUUUUCUCUCCCUUUCACCUAUAUAUAUAAGAAGGCCCCAUCACAAACUCUCUCUCUCUCUCUCUCUCUCUCUUUCUAUGCAUGGCCAUCCUCACUGCAAAUAUCAAAUAGCUAGUUUCAAUAUCUUUCUCUCUUUUUCUCUUCCUCUUCGUGUUGAAAUUGUUGAGGGGAAUGCUGUCUGGUUCGAGACCGUUUGUUGGAUAUCGUCGUUGUUUCCAUGAUGGGAACGAUCUCGGACCAGGCUUCAUUCCCCCCAACUCGAAGUUUCAUCAAUACAAGGGGCAAUGUUGAUCUUUUUUUGAUAAUUAUGGAGAGUUACAAAGAAUAAUAUCAGCUGAUCAUAUGAGGAAGAAGAGGAAGCUUUGAGGACCCCUUUCACUUUAUGUUGCAUGAGAGAGAGAUAGACAGAAAGAAAGUUUUGUUUUUUUUUUUUUUUAAUUUUAGAAAUAGGCAAUCAAAGUAGAGGUUUGAAUUCAAUUUUAUCCUUUAUUGGUUUAUAAGCUCAAGACUAUCAUGAUAGCCCAUUUUGCUUGGUUUCUUGCUCACUCGCCACUUUCUUAAACACCCCCUUGUGGGUCAGAUUUGGGCUUCAAAAUCUUCCAUUUCUAUAUAUUGUGGUUCUCUUUUAAUUUUCUUGCCUCAUAAUUACUACCCUUUGGAUCUUGAAAUGGACAUCAUCCUCAUCUAUUAUUUCUAAGUUUAAUUCUUUUAGAGACGUCUCAACUAAUUACCAUUUCAUAUAUGUAAGUAUAUGCUUCCCAGAUGUGAGGAGAGAAAUGGUAGAAUUUACCGCUUCUUGGUGGUGCACAAUUUAAGUUUGAAAUUAUAGUCUUUCAAAGCUUUUCAACAAUGGAAGGCUAUUAUUCAUU